rnacentral:sRNA from 1 species
AAGAAACCAUGCCUAUCGCU